rnacentral:rRNA from 1 species
UACGUAGGUGGCAAGCGUUGUCCGGAUUUACUGGGCGUAAAGAGCGCGCAGGCGGUCGUUCAAGUCGCGUGUGAAAGCCCCCGGCUCAACUGGGGAGGGUCACGCGAUACUGAUCGACUGGAAGGCAGGAGAGGGUAGUGGAAUUCCCGGUGUAGUGGUGAAAUGCGUAGAUAUCGGGAGGAACACCAGUGGCGAAGGCGGCUACCUGGCCCACUCUUGACGCUGAGGCGCGAAAGCUAGGGGAGCAAACGGGG